GAAGCGGGAGGCAUCACCGCGGGCCUCAGUUUCUCCCCUUUGAAAUGGAGGGGCGCUCUCUCCUGGUCCUGAAUUGAGGCUGUUCUGUUCCCCGAGAACCCCUGAAGCUGGGAAAGUCUCACUCUGUACUAGCUGACAGAGGCUGAGGGGAGAG